UACGUAGGUGGCGAGCGUUGUCCGGAAUUACUGGGUGUAAAGCGCGUGUAGGCGGCAGGCCAAGUCGGUGGUGAAAGCGCCCGGCUCAACUGGGCGAGGUCCAUGGAAACUGGUCAGCUGGAGGACGGUAGAGGCGAGUGGAAUUCCCGGUGUAGAGGUGAAAUUCGUAGAUAUCGGGAGGAACACCAGUGGCGAAGGCGGCGAUCUGGGAACAUACUGACGCUGAGGUGCGAAAGCGUGGGGAGCAAACAGG
rnacentral:rRNA from 1 species